rnacentral:ncRNA from 1 species
UGAGAUGAACUUUACCUAGUACGAGAGGACCGGGAAGGACACACCUUUGAUGUAUCAGUUAUCGUGCCCAUGGUAAACACUGGGUAGCCAAGUGCGGAGCGGAUAACUGUUGAAAGCAUUUAAGUAGUAAGUCCACCCCAAAUAAA